rnacentral:rRNA from 1 species
GAAUUUUCCGCAAUGGGCGAAAGCCUGACGCAGCAACGCCGCGUGGAGGAUGAAGGCCCUCGGGUCGUAAACUCCUGUCAGUGGGGAAGAAUGCUUCGGUUUGACUGUACCCGCUGAGGAAGCCACGGCUAACUCCGUGCCAGCAGCCGCGGUAAUACGGAGGUGGCAAGCGUUGUUCGGAAUUACUGGGCGUAAAGGGCGCGUAGGCGGCUUAGCAAGUCAGGUGUGAAAUCCCCGAGCUUAACUUGGGGAUUGCACCUGAAACUGCCGAGCUUGAGUCCUGGAGGGGAUAGCGGAAUUCCCAGUGUAGCGGUGAAAUGCGUAGAUAUUGGGAGGAACACCUGUGGCGAAGGCGGCUAUCUGGACAGUGACUGACGCUGAGGCGCGAAAGCUAGGGGAGCGAAAGGGAUUAGAUACCCCUGUAGUC